rnacentral:rRNA from 1 species
UGGGGAAUAUUGCACAAUGGGCGCAAGCCUGAUGCAGCCAUGCCGCGUGUGUGAAGAAGGCCUUCGGGUUGUAAAGCACUUUCAGCGAGGAGGAAGGUGGUGAGCUUAAUACGCUCAUCAAUUGACGUUACUCGCAGAAGAAGCACCGGCUAACUCCGUGCCAGCAGCCGCGGUAAUACGGAGGGUGCAAGCGUUAAUCGGAAUUACUGGGCGUAAAGCGCACGCAGGCGGUUUGUUAAGUCAGAUGUGAAAUCCCCGGGCUCAACCUGGGAACUGCAUUUGAAACUGGCAAGCUAGAGUCUCGUAGAGGGGGGUAGAAUUCCAGGUGUAGCGGUGAAAUGCGUAGAGAUCUGGAGGAAUACCGGUGGCGAAGGCGGCCCCCUGGACGAAGACUGACGCUCAGGUGCGAAAGCGUGGGGCAGCAAACAGGAUUAGAUACCCUGGUAGUCCAGCGCUGUAAACGAUGUCGAUUUGGAGGUUGUGCCCUUGAGGCGUGGCUUCCGGAGCUAACGCGUUAAAGUCGACCGCCUGGGGGAGUACGGCG